rnacentral:rRNA from 1 species
CCUACGGGUGGCAGCAGUGAGGAAUAUUGGUCAAUGGACGCAAGUCUGAACCAGCCAUGCCGCGUGCAGGAAGACGGUGCUAUGGAUUGUAAACUGCUUUUAUCAGGGGGUAAUUACAGCUACGUGUAUCUGGAUGAGAGUACCGUAUGAAUAAGGAUCGGCUAACUCCGUGCCAGCAGCCGCGGUAAUACGGAGGAUCCGAGCGUUAUCCGGAUUUCUUUGGUUUAAAGGGUUCGUAGGCGGUCAGGUAAGUUAGCGGGGAAAGCUCGGUGCUCAACCUCGGAACUGCCUCUGAUACUGGCGUACUAGAGUGAAGGUGCGGAAGGCGGAAUGUGUGGUGUAGCGGUGAAAUGCUUAGAUAUCACACAGAACACCGAUUGCGAAGGCAGUUUUCCA